rnacentral:rRNA from 1 species
UACGUAGGCAGCGAGCGUUGUUCGGAGUUACUGGGCGUAAAGCGUGCGUAGGCGGUGUUCCAAGUCUGUUGUGAAAUCUCCCGGCUUAACCGGGAGGGUGCGGCGGAAACUGGGAUGCUGGAGUGCGGGAGAGGUAAGCGGAAUUCCCGGUGUAGCGGUGAAAUGCGUAGAUAUCAGGAGGAACACCGGUGGCGAAGGCGGGUCUCUGGGGCCGAUACUGACGCUGAGGAGCGAAAGCGUGGGGAGCGAACAGG